CUUAUGGACAUGAUGAAAUCCAUGAGAUGCCAUAAUGAUUUGGUGUAAAAUGGCUGUUUGCUUUUCUUGUUCGCAUGGAAAUUCAAUGCAUUUUAUUGUCAGAUUUGCAAACAAUACACAGAGUCAGGGAGAAAAAAAAAGUUUGUGGCGUCGUCAGGUCUCGUUUAGUUCAAGACUGAAAUGAUAAGUAGUUCUGUUUGUGAUUUGAAUACAUGCAUUUUUUUAAAGGAACCACAAAUUUCUAACAGUUUUUAUUUACUUUCAGUGUGGCAACAGAGAUUCAGACUAUGGUACUUGACACCAACACUAAAUCUGAGAAGGAAAGACCCAAACCAGGAAGGCAAAUCAGUGGAUCCGCUCCGCUCGCCUAUCUGAGGAGUAUCCUGAUCUUCAAAAAAAUAAAAAUCAUACAUCGGAUUUGUGGAUCAUUGUACUUGUAGAUGUAGAAGCCAUUCUGUUAGGUUCUAGAUUGGAGGGCCGAGGAACAUUAUACGAAACAUUACGCAAUUUCGAAUUUGUAAUCUGAAGAGCUAAUUCCAGUCCAGGUUCUCAAUUAGACUUGCAGGUUCUGUGCUCUCUGGAAAUGUAUCGGAGUCUGUUAGUUAUAGGGAUCAGAAGUUUCGAGCUGAUUCAUUUUGUGGCUGUAGAAUAUCAAGAGGGAGGAGGCACUGAAUAAUGGCAUGUAGGAGUUUAGAUGUUGCUUUCAGCAACUAUUAUUUUAACAAUGUAGAUGUGUUGAAAAGAAAAAAAAGGAGGUCAACAUUUAUGUGUGCUUAUGUUA